rnacentral:rRNA from 1 species
GACGAACGCUGGCGGCGUGCCUAACACAUGCAAGUCGAACGGAAAGGCCCUGCUUUUGUGGGGUGCUCGAUUGGCGAACGGGUGAGUAACACGUGAGUAACCUGCCCUUGACUUUGGGAUAACUUCAGGAAACUGGGGCUAAUACCGGAUAGGAGCUCCUGCUGCAUGGUGGGGGUUGGAAAGUUUCGGCGGUAUGGGAUGGACUCGCGGCUUAUCAGCUUGUUGGUGGGGUAGUUGCUUACCAAGGUUUUGACGGGUAGGCGGCCUGAGAGGGUGACCGGCGUCAUUACGACUACGGUACGGACCAGACUGCUACGGGAGGCAGCAGUGGGGAGUAUUGCACAGUGAGCGGAAGCGUGUUGCAACGGCGCCGCGUGCGGGAUGACGGCCUUCGGGUUGUAAACCGCUUUCGACUGUGACGAAGCGUGAUUGACGGUAAUGGGUAAAGAAGCACCGGCUAACUACGUG